UACGAAGGGGGCUAGCGUUGCUCGGAAUCACUGGGCGUAAAGGGUGCGUAGGCGGGUCUUUAAGUCAGGGGGGAAAUCCUGGAGCUCAACUCCAGAACUGCCUUUGAUACUGAGGAUCUUGAGUUCGGGAGAGGUGAGUGGAACUGCGAGUGUAGAGGUGAAAUUCGUAGAUAUUCGCAAGAACACCAGUGGCGAAGGCGGCUCACUGGCCCGGUACUGACGCUGAGGCGCGAAAGCGUGGGGAGCAAACAGG
rnacentral:rRNA from 1 species